rnacentral:rRNA from 1 species
AUUGAACGCUGGCGGCAUGCUUUACACAUGCAAGUCGAACGGUAACAGGCCGCAAGGUGCUGACGAGUGGCGAACGGGUGAGUAAUGCAUCGGAACGUGCCCAGUCGUGGGGGAUAACGCAGCGAAAGCUGCGCUAAUACCCCAUACGAUCUCUGGAUGAAAGCGGGGGACCGAAAGGUCUCGCGCGAUUGGAGCGGCCGAUGUCAGAUUAGGUAGUUGGUGGGGUAAAGGCCCACCAAGCCAACGAUCUGUAGCUGGUCUGAGAGGACGACCAGCCACACUGGUACUGAAAGACGGCCCAGACUCCUACGGGAGGCAGCAGUGGGGAAUUUUGGACAAUGGGCGCAAGCCUGAUCCAGCAAGGCCGCGUGCAGGAAGAAGGCCUUCGGGUUGUAACCUGCUUUUGUACGGAACGAAACGGUCCGGGUUAAUACCCUGGGCUAAUGACGGUACCGUAAGAAUAAGCACCGGCUAACUACGUGCCAGCCGCCGCCGUAAAAC